rnacentral:rRNA from 1 species
AGAGUUUGAUCAUGGCUCAGGACGAACGCUGGCGGCGUGCCUAAUACAUGCAAGUAGAACGCUGACUACUUUAGCUUGCUAGAGUAGAAGGAGUUGCGAACGGGUGAGUAACGCGUAGGUAACCUGCCUACUAGCGGGGGAUAACUAUUGGAAACGAUAGCUAAUACCGCAUAACAGUGUUUAACACAUGUUAGAUGCUUGAAAGAUGCAAAUGCAUCACUAGUAGAUGGACCUGCGUUGUAUUAGCUAGUUGGUGGGGUAACGGCCUACCAAGGCGACGAUACAUAGCCGACCUGAGAGGGUGAUCGGCCACACUGGGACUGAGACACGGCCCAGACUCCUACGGGAGGCAGCAGUAGGGAAUCUUCGGCAAUGGGGGCAACCCUGACCGAGCAACGCCGCGUGAGUGAAGAAGGUUUUCGGAUCGUAAAGCUCUGUUGUAAGAGAAGAACGUGUGUGAGAGUGGAAAGUUCACACAGUGACGGUAACUUACCAGAAAGGGACGGCUAACUACGUGCCAGCAGCCGCGGUAAUACGUAGGUCCCGAGCGUUGUCCGGAUUUAUUGGGCGUAAAGCGAGCGCAGGCGGUUUAAUAAGUCUGAAGUUAAAGGCAGUGGCUUAACCAUUGUUCGCUUUGGAAACUGUUAAACUUGAGUGCAGAAGGGGAGAGUGGAAUUCCAUGUGUAGCGGUGAAAUGCGUAGAUAUAUGGAGGAACACCGGUGGCGAAAGCGGCUCUCUGGUCUGUAACUGACGCUGAGGCUCGAAAGCGUGGGGAGCAAACAGGAUUAGAUACCCUGGUAGUCCAACGCCGUAAACGAUGAGUGCUAGGUGUUAGGCCCUUUCCGGGGCUUAGUGCCGCAGCU